rnacentral:rRNA from 1 species
CCUACGGGAGGCAGCAGUGAGGAAUAUUGGUCAAUGGACGAGAGUCUGAACCAGCCAAGUCGCGUGAAGGAUGACUGCCCUAUGGGUUGUAAACUUCUUUUAUAAAGGAAUAAAACGCGGCACGUGUGCCUUUUUGCAUGUACUUUAUGAAUAAGGAUCGGCUAACUCCGUGCCAGCAGCCGCGGUAAUACGGAGGAUCCGAGCGUUAUCCGGAUUUAUUGGGUGUAAAGGGAGCGUAGAUGGGAUGUUAAGUCAGUUGUGAAAGUUUGCGGCGCAACCGUAAAAUUGCAAUUGAUACUGGCAGUCUUGAGUACAGGUGAGGUAGGCGGAAUUCGUGGUGUAGCGGGGAAAUGCUUAGAUAUCACGAAGAACCCCGAGUGCGAAGGCAGCUUACUAAACUGUGACUGACAUUGAUGCUCGAAAGUGUGGGGAUCAAACAGGAUUAGAUACCCCAGUAGUC